AUUGAACGCUGGCGGCAGGCCUAACACAUGCAAGUCGAGCGAGAGGCGGGCGGGUUAGUAAUGUAUGUGGAUCUGCCCGGUAGAUGGGGUUAACUAAUGGAAACGGUUGCUAAUACCGCAUACUAUCGGCUGAACCCAUAUGGGAUUAGCUAGUGGGUGGGGUAAAGGCUCACCUAGGCGCCGAUCUCUAGCUGGUCUGAGAGGAUGAUCAGCCACACUGGAACUGAGACACGGUCCAGACUCCUACGGGAGGCAGCAGUGGGGAAUAUUGGACAAUGGGCGCAAGCCUGAUGCAGCCAUGCCGCGUGUAUGAAGAAGGUCUUAGGGUUGUAAAGUACUUUCAGUUGGGAGGCGUUACCGGCAGAAGAAGCACCGGCUAACUCCGUGCCAGCAGCCGCGGUAAUAC
rnacentral:rRNA from 1 species